CUGGCCUUGACAUCCUGCGAACUUUCUAGAGAUAGAUUGGUGCCUUCGGGAACGCAGUGACAGGUGCUGCAUGGCCGUCGUCAGCUCGUGUCGUGAGAUGUUGGGUUAAGUCCCGUAACGAGCGCAACCCCUAUCCCUAGUUGCUAGCAGUUCGGCUGAGAACUCUAGGGAGACUGCCGGUGACAAACCGGAGGAAGGUGGGGAUGACGUCAGGUCAUCAUGGCCCUUACGGCCAGGGCUACACACGUGCUACAAUGGUGCGUACAGAGGGCUGCAAACCCGCGAGGGGGAGCUAAUCUCACAAAACGCAUCGUAGUCCGGAUCGGAGUCUGCAACUCGACUCCGUGAAGUCGGAAUCGCUAGUAAUCGCGAAUCAGAAUGUCGCGGUGAAUGCGUUCCC
rnacentral:rRNA from 1 species